UCACUUGUGGGGGGAUUAGUGGCGAACGGGUGAGUAACACGUGAGAUAACCUGCCCUUGACUCUGGGAUAAGCCUGGGAAACCGGGUCUAAUACUGGAUACGACCUUCUGGCGCAUGCCAUGUUGGUGGAAAGCUUUUGUGGUUUUGGAUGGACUCGCGGCCUAUCAGCUUGUUGGUGGGGUAAUGGCCUACCAAGGCGACAACGGGUAGCCGGCCUGAGAGGGUGACCGGCCACACUGGGACUGAGACACGGCCCAGACUCCUACGGGAGGCAGCAGUGGGGAAUAUUGCACAAUGGGCGCAAGCCUGAUGCAGCGACGCCGCGUGAGGGAUGAAGGCCUUCGGGUUGUAAACCUCUUUCAGUAGGGAAGAAGCCGGCCUUUCGGGGUUGGUGACGGUACCUGCAGAAGAAGCGCCGGCUAACUACGUGCCAGCAGCCGCGGUAAUACGUAGGGCGCAAGCGUUAUCCGGAAUUAUUGGGCGUAAAGAGCUCGUAGGCGGUUUGUCGCGUCUGCCGUGAAAGUCCGGGGCUUAACCCCGGAUCUGCGGUGGGUACGGGCAGACUAGAGUGCAGUAGGGGAGACUGGAAUUCCUGGUGUAGCGGUGAAAUGCGCAGAUAUCAGGAGGAACACCGAUGGCGAAGGCAGGUCUCUGGGCUGUAACUGACGCUGAGGAGCGAAAGCAUGGGGAGCGAACAGGAUUAGAUACCCUGGUAGUCCAUGCCGUAAACGUUGGGCACUAGGUGUGGGGGACAUUCCACGUUUUCCGCGCCGUAGCUAACGCAUUAAGUGCCCCGCCUGGGGAGUACGGCCGCAAGGCUAAAACUCAAAGGAAUUGACGGGGGCCCGCACAAGCGGCGGAGCAUGCGGAUUAAUUCGAUGCAACGCGAAGAACCUUACCAAGGCUUGACAUGAACCGGAAUGAUGCAGAGAUGUGUCAGCCACUUGUGGCCGGUUUACAGGUGGUGCAUGGUUGUCGUCAGCUCGUGUCGUGAGAUGUUGGGUUAAGUCCCGCAACGAGCGCAACCCUCGUUCCAUGUUGCCAGCGGGUUAUGCCGGGGACUCAUGGGAGACUGCCGGGGUCAACUCGGAGGAAGGUGGGGACGACGUCAAAUCAUCAUGCCCCUUAUGUCUUGGGCUUCACGCAUGCUACAAUGGCCGGUACAAAGGGUUGCGAUACUGUGAGGUGGAGCUAAUCCCAAAAAGCCGGUCUCAGUUCGGAUUGAGGUCUGCAACUCGACCUCAUGAAGUUGGAGUCGCUAGUAAUCGCAGAUCAGCAACGCUGCGGUGAAUACGUUCCCGGGCCUUGUA
rnacentral:rRNA from 1 species